rnacentral:rRNA from 1 species
UGAGACUGUGGGGGAUAAGCUUCAUAGUCGAGAGGGAAACAGCCCAGAUCGCCGGUUAAGGCCCCUAAGGGUGUACUAAGUGGAAAAGGAUGUGGGAUCGCGAAGACAGCCAGGAGGUUGGCUUAGAAGCAGCCAUCCUUGAAAGAGUGCGUAAUAGCUCACUGGUCGAGUGGUUCUGCGCCGACAAUGUAGUGGGGCUCAAGUACACCGCCGAAGCCGCGGCAACAAUUUUUUGUUGGGUAGGGGAGCGUCGUGCAUGGGUUGAAGCGUUACCGUAAGGAGGCGUGGACUGUGUGCGAGUGAGAAUGCAGGCAUGAGUAACGAAUUGAUAGGUGAGAAUCCUAUCCGCCGGAUGACUAAGGGUUCCUGGGUCAAGUUCGUCUUCCCAGGGUGAGUCGGGACCUAAGGCGAGGCCGACAGGCGUAGUCGAUGGAUAACCAGUUGAUAUUCUGGUACCCGUACAUGCGCGCCCAUGAUAAAGCACUGAUACUAACCACCGCGGAUGCAUUGCUGGUCUUCUUUGAAGUCUGGUGGUGUUGAUGUCGUGGGGCCUGAUGUGUGGUUCAAGUGAUGGGGUGACGCAGUGAGGUAGCCACGCCACUUAUUGGAUUGGUGGUGUAAGCGUGCAGACCGUGUGGUAGGUAAAUCCGCUGCACUUUUGGUUGAGGCGUGAUGCGUAGACCCAUUGGGGUUGAUGGUGGUGAUCCUGUACUGUCGAGAAAAGCCUCUAGCGAUGUGUGUGUAUGGCCCGUACCCUAAACCGACACAGGUGGUCAGGUUGAAAAUACUAAGGCGUUCGGGUGAACUGUGGUUAAGGAAUUCGGCAAAAUGCCCCCGUAACUUCGGGAGAAGGGGGGCCCUACGAUGUGAGCACUCUUGCGGUGUUAAGCGUUGUGGGGUCGCAGAGAAUAGAGGGAAGCGACUGUUUAUCAAAAACACAGGUCCAUGCGAAGACGUUAAGUUGAUGUAUAUGGACUGACGCCUGCCCGGUGCUGGAAGGUUAAGAGGACCGGUUAGUCAACGUUGUUGGCGAAGCUGAGAAUUUAAGCCCCAGUAAACGGCGGUGGUAACUAUAACCAUCCUAAGGUAGCGAAAUUCCUUGUCGGGUAAGUUCCGACCUGCACGAAUGGCGUAACGACUUCUCUGCUGUCUCAACCACAGGCCCGGUGAAAUUGCACUACGAGUAAAGAUGCUCGUUACGCGCGGCAGGACGAAAAGACCCCGGGACCUUCACUAUAGCUUGGUAUUGGUGUUUGGUUCGGUUUGUGUAGGAUAGGUGGGAGACUUGGAAGCUAUCACGCUAGUGGUGGUGGAGUCGUUGUUGAAAUACCACUCUGAUCGGAUUGAGCAUCUAACCUUGGCCCAUGAUCUGGGUUGGGGACAGUGCCUGGUGGGUAGUUUAACUGGGGCGGUUGCCUCCCAAAAUGUAACGGAGGCGCCCAAAGGUUCCCUCAGCCUGGUUGGCAAUCAGGUGGUGAGUGUAAGUGCACAAGGGAGCUUGACUGUGAGACAGACAUGUCGAGCAGGGACGAAAGUCGGGACUAGUGAUCCGGCACCUACUUGUGGAUGUGGUGUCGCUCAACGGAUAAAAGGUACCCCGGGGAUAACAGGCUGAUCUUCCCCAAGAGUCCAUAUCGACGGGAUGGUUUGGCACCUCGAUGUCGGCUCGUCGCAUCCUGGGGCUGGAGUAGGUCCCAAGGGUUGGGCUGUUCGCCCAUUAAAGCGGCACGCGAGCUGGGUUCAGA